UAAAAUAUUUUCUAUAGAAAUGCUUACAAACAUGACAGGCAUUUUGCUACAAUUGUCUGUAUUACAAUUAUGUUGUGAACCAAGAAUUACUUUUUCUACUCGACAUAUUUGUAGAAUUAUCGGUGAAUCUUGACAUGUGGUUGAAGCUGUGUCGAGUUGCGUGACAAUUGUAGUAUGUCGUGGUUGACAUACGCGUAGUUCAAAAUGGCUCUCCAUGCGAGUAGUAGUGACGCUAGUGAUAGUAACAGUGACCUUGAUGAUUUCGCAUAUAGAAGAAGAUUUAAAGAAAGAAUCAAUUUUUCUUUUAUCUCACGGAUUUUUCAUUUAAGGAAAAAUCUCGUGUUAGUUAAAUCAGUGUAUAAUAUUUAUUAAAUAGAAUCGGUGCACGUAUUGAACAUCCAGCGACAAAAAACAAAGCUUUAACGCCUUGCCAACAAAUUCUUUGUACAGUGCUGCAUUGGAUGGGGUCGGGUUCUCAAUAUCACGAAAAAUAAUAUUUCGUCGACCAUACCAUAGUCGACAUAGUUAAGAGGAAAGGGGACAACCGCUUCUCCAUACAAACGUAGUACUAAUUCUCUCUCUGUAUAUUAACAUUUUGGACAUGAACAUAUUUUUACACAAUUUUAUAUAUAUUAAAUUUAUAAGUUUAUAACCCGUGAUAUUAACGAGAAGGAAUAUAUAUAUUUUUUAAUUUGUUUAUAUUUUUUUCUCAUAACUCUAUAAUACAAAAAUCCAAAGUCAAACGAAAGGGCAAAGCUAUGGUUAAUAUAAAGCCUGACCAGUAAAAUAUGAUCACGCGCCAUAUUGCGGAAUUUCAUUGGAACUAAAUUUUUCAUACUAAACUGAACUGUCAUCCUACAUGAGAAUAAUAGCGCCCUCUUGACAAUGAUCAUAUAUUUCUGGUCGAGAUAAAUUGAAGGGAAUUACACGAAAUCGAGCACUCGAAAUUCAAAAAUCGGCCCCCAGAUCGAAAAACUGUUACUAUGUCAUUGAAGCCAGUAGAUUUGCAGUAGAAACAUUAAAUAACUGUAAUAGUUCUGAAGUAUUCAUUUUUUUAAAGCAAUUCGUGCAAAAUUAAUCCCUAACCAUUCCAAAAUAUUAAAAAUGCACAACGUUAACCUCCUGGGGUCCGAAGUACUAAUACUAGGAGUCUAGGACAAAAUCGGUUUGCAGUGAAAGCCCAAGUAUCAAAAUAGAUACUUGAUGCCAAGACCCAGCGUGAUAGUACUAGGACAAAAUAUUUACACGCUCCAGGUGGAUUUGAAUUACCCGCCAUGUCAUUUUGACGUUACUGGUUAGUUAGUGUAUAUAUUUGGCAUUGUGGCAGCACUGCUUGAAGUAAGCGGGGAGGGAUAUUUUCGGUCUUCUGUCACAAGACGUCGCAGCAAUGACACGUGCAACGAGAAGAACUAUAAAAGAUAGUCAAGUGUUGGACUUGCUCCAGCAGUCUGAUUUCGAAGACGACGAAGAUGAUCCUUUUGGAGGGAAUGAUACAGACGACGAGUAUAUUUCUGUGGAGAACACGGCCAUCGAAAGCGACAGUGACAGCAGUACCAGCUCAGAACCUGUGAGUGCAAGCCCUCCACCAGCCCCGCAACUUAUUCGAGGACGAGGUCGAGGUCGAUCGCGUACACAGACCCGAAAUUUUUCAAAAGGAAAAUUUUGUUGAUUUGAAUGUUAAAAUUUGUUUUUUCUGUAGAACAUUUUAGUUCCUGCUGUGAAGCAUGCUAUUUUUUGUAUCUUAGAUGAUAUUAAUGAUGAUUACGUUGAUUUCUGCUAGUAUAAAGUGUUAACUUUUGUUUUCUAUAAGAUUUUCAAGACUGAUUGAUUUUCA